AUAAAUCUCCCCCUAUAUAGUGACUGGCAGCUCCUCCUGAGGAUUGGCAUCAGCUGCUGCCCCCCCCCCCCUUGUCUAUAGGGGUCUCUUAAUUGGUGGACUAAAUCAUUGCAGGCAUGUGGCCUUCCCAUCCCCCCCCCUCGUCCGGGCCUGCAGGGGCCCCCUAGGAAUAUAUAUUGCACUUAUAAAACAAUACGGCUUUUGUGCGGUUGAUUAAACGUCCCGGCCGUACAAAAGCGAGGCCACGAGUUAUCGGGAGAAUAAUGCGCAUUGUGCGAUCAGAUGCAUUGAUGGACACCUCAGCCAUAUAAAAAAAAGUAUAUUUCUGGGCACAGGACGGAUGGCUUCGCUCCAAAUGUUUGACACAGAGAGUUUCUUGAAAUUCUGUCUACAUGCCCUCUGUGACCUGCCUGAUAACAAUACAUUGUGUGAGUAAUUCACCUCCACAGAGGAGGAGGAGGGGGGAUUCCAAAUUGCAGCUGAGCACCAGCGAGACCAUUCAACGUUUGGCCCCAGAAGGAGAUUUCAAGUAAAGCAUCUGCCAAUCAGGAUCCGGGCCCUGGAAAAAGCAGCAGCUGGAGAGGGAAGGUGCGAUCCGGCCCAGCACCACCACCACCACCACUAUCCAUCAAUACAAUCUCUGGCUAUUCAAGACCCCCGAGCUCCCCCCCUACUCAUCCCUGUGAAGAAGAAUAUAUUACCGCCCAUGCCUGUUCCUGCUAAUCUGCUGCUCUUUACUAUUUCAUGCAUAUAUUCCAGGCAGAAGGGUGAAUUUUCCUUAGUAAAAUGUGAUACUGUGAAGGAAGUUAAUCAGUGUCGUAUUACAAUAGAAUGUCCUGCUUGAAAAAGCUGCAUUUUAAGCGAUUCUCCACCGACUCAGCUUCAUGGAUAAAAAUACCGUAAGAACGGUCAGAAGACAUUUACUGCUGGAAGCUGUCACUUAGCCAAGAAUGUAGCCCAAAGAAGUCCAAAGGUUCCUCUGCCACAUAGGAAGAUAUCAGCAUUACAAUUGGCAUGCCAUAGAAGGAGUUCAAUGACACGGAGGAAAGACAAUUUGUUAAAUAUGUUCUCUGAAAGGAAAGCGGGGCAGAGGGAGAGAAAAAUCCUUUCUUCUUGCAGGACAAUCGCCUACAAAUGAAAGCAGCAGCGAACCUUCCAGGCCUGAAACCUCUUUAAUACCCAUUAUUGUGUUAGUGCGAAAGAUUCAUGGUUAUCUUUCAAAAUCACCAUCAAAAUUUACAAUCUGUUUUAUGGAGCAUAGUCCUUCAUAAAUCACAAGAAAGCAGGGCUGUUCUUACUAAUAUGUGUUAUUUUAGAUAAUAAAUGGUCUGAAUAUAAUAAGGAAGACAUGGGGUUUUGUUCCAGGUAAAAAGUAGAAUGAAUGAAUUUUAUA